rnacentral:rRNA from 1 species
CAGUCGCCGCGGUAAUACGAAGGGGGCUAGCGUUGCUCGGAAUCACUGGGCGUAAAGGGUGCGUAGGCGGGUCUUUAAGUCAGGGGUGGAAUCCUGGAGCUCAACUCCAGAACUGCCUUUGAUACUGAAGAUCUUGAGUUCGGGAGAGGUGAGUGGAACUGCGAGUGUAGAGGUGAAAUUCGUAGAUAUUCGCAAGAACACCAGUGGCGAAGGCGGCUCACUGGCCCGAUACUGACGCUGAGGCACGAAAGCGUGGGGAGCAAACAGGAUUAGAUACCCCGGUAGUCCCUGUCUCUAUACA